rnacentral:rRNA from 1 species
AUUGAACGCUGGCGGCAGGCCUAACACAUGCAAGUCGAGCGAGCGGCGGACGGGUGAGUAAUGUAUGGGGACUGCCCGAUAGAGGGGGAUAACUACUGGAAACGGUGGCUAAUACCGCAUACUAUCGGAUAACCCAUAUGGGAUUCGCUAGUAGGUGGGGUAAAGGCUCACCUAGGCGACGCUCUCUAGCUGGUCUGAGAGGAUGAUCAGCCACACUGGGAAUGAGACACGGCCAAGACUCAUACGGAGGCAGCAGUGGGGAAUAGUGCACAAUGGGCGCAAGCCUGAUGCAGCAAUGCCGCGUGUAUGAAGAAGGCCUUAGGGUUGUAAAGUACUUUCAGCGGGGAGGCGGUAGAGGAAGAAGAAGCACCGGCUAACUCCGUGCCAGCAGCCGCGGUAAGAG